CGGACGGGUGAGUAACGCGUAGGAACCUAUCGCACAUGGGGGGAUAACACGGGGAAACCGGGUGCUAAUACCGCAUGUGGUCAGCGAUGAAGAAAGCGAGUAAUCGCGCUGUGUGAGGGGCCUGCGUCCGAUUAGCUGGUUGGUGGGGUAACGGCCUACCAAGGCGACGAUCGGUAGCUGGUCUGAGAGGAUGGUCAGCCACACUGGGACUGAGACACGGCCCAG
rnacentral:rRNA from 1 species